ACCGGCGGCUCGAGUGGUGGCCACUAUUACUGGGCUUAAAGCGUUCGUAGCUGGCUUGUUAAGUCUCUGGGGAAAUCUUCCGGCUCAACCGGAAGGCGUCUCAGGGAUACUGGCAGGCUAGGGACCGGAAGAGGUGGGAGGUACUCCAGGGGUAGGGGGGAAAACCCUAUAACCCUGGGGGAACACCCGGGGGCAAGGCCGCCCCCCCGGAACGGCCCGACCGUGAGGGAAGAAAGGCUGGGGAGCAAACCG
rnacentral:rRNA from 1 species